rnacentral:rRNA from 1 species
CAGUAGCCGCGGUAAUACGGAGGGUGCAAGCGUUAAUUGGAAUUACUGGGCGUAAAGCGCACGCAGGCGGUCUGACAAGUCAGAUGUGAAAUCCCCGGGCUUAACCUGGGAACUGCAUUUGAAACUGUCAGGCUGGAGUCUUGUAGAGGGGGGUGGAAUUCCAGGUGUAGCGGUGAAAUGCGUAGAGAUCUGGAGGAAUACCGGUGGCGAAGGCGGCCCCCUGGACAAAGACUGACGCUCAGGUGCGAAAGCGUGGGGAGCAAACAGGAUUAGAUACCCCGGUAGUCCCUGUCUCUUAUAC